UGGUGGAGUGAUUUGUCUGGUUAAUUCCUUUAACAAACGAGACCUCAACUUGCUAACUAGUUACACAAAGGAUCCUCUUUGUGGCCAACUUCUUAGAGGGACUAUGGCCGUCUAGGCCAUGGAAGUUUGAGGCAAUAAUA
rnacentral:rRNA from 1 species